rnacentral:rRNA from 1 species
UACGUAGGGGGCAAGCGUUGUCCGGAUUUAUUGGGCGUAAAGAGCGUGUAGGCGGCCAUUCAGGUCAGCUGUGAAAACUCGAGGCUCAACCUCGAGACGUCGGUUGAAACCGUUUGGCUAGAGUCCGGAAGAGGAGAGUGGAAUUCCCGGUGUAGCGGUGAAAUGCGCAGAUAUCGGGAAGAACACCCGUGGCGAAGGCGGCUCUCUGGGACGGUACUGACGCUGAGACGGCGAAAGCGU